GACGUUAGGGUUUCGGAAAUCACGAAAGGGCGGAGGAGUGAGCAGGGGAUCAGAGUCAGCGGGCUCCGCCAUCGGCGACGACAGAGGGGGGUGAGUGUCGGCGAGUGAUGACAUGGCACUACGGUAAUCGGAAAAAGAUUUAGUGCCGUUGUUAUUAUUGGAAGGUUCGUCGAGGACGAGGUUCUCCAUUUCUUCUCUGGAUGCGUACAUAUGGGCUUCUUCAGAGUCCAGGUUUUCCGAUCCCAUCAUGUUUAUUACGAUUGAUAAAAAAAUUUAAAAAAACAUAAAUAAAUCAAAUUAUAGUACAGCUGCUAAAAU
rnacentral:misc_RNA from 1 species